AUUUAACUAUAUUUUACCCAAACAUAUCGUUCCAAUGUGAGUCAGACAGUUCUCAAGUUUAAUUAUCUGUAACUAUCAUUUUGUCAGUCUGAAUAAAGUCUGGCGUUUUGAUAAUAUGACACUUAAUAAAAAAGGUAAAACAUAAGGACCCUUCAACAGUAAACUCAUCAUAGAUACCAGUCUUAAAAUGAGAAAUAUCGACAUAUCAUAAAUUUAAAUAAAUCUAUUUGCAUUUACUUAUUGAAAUGCCAGCAUUGUUUACCAGUAUUUUAUUCUAGAAAUAAUUAAUCGAUCAGAUGCAUUUCCACCAAUUAGAUAAAAGUGUAGUACACUUUAUUUCUACUUAAGUGAUAACCUUUUGUUAGAGGAUUUAAUGAAUAUAACAAAUAAAAGGCACAAUAAAUAUACAAAGGAUAGGAUAAAAAAUAGACCGAGCCAAAGUAAAACUCUUACAGACCGAAAGAAUAAAGGAAGGUUAAAUUAUCUUAAAUCCAUCCAUAUUAUCCAUUUAACUGCACAAUGGAAAGAAGUUGUAAUUUGAUACAUGUUUUAUUUGUCAAUUCUUUUGACAUUUUAUAUUUUUUAAAAGUCAAUGGUUAACUAAAUGUGAAGCAAUAAGGUCACUGUUAUUAUAUAAACAUUGUUAACAUAGUCAUAUAGUAUUAGUCUGUUAAAAAUCAAUAACGUAAUUUGUGCUUUUGAUGCUGGUUGAAACCCUAUACAUUGAAGAAAAAAUUCAACAUCAUCCCUUUUCGGAAACGUUCUUUUUUUGCAUAUAAACCAUAUCCUAACCAAAAAUAUUGUUGAUCACAAGAUUGCAAACAAUAGUGUUGAUGUGAGACACUUAUCUUUUGUGGUAAGGUUAUGGCCCAUUUUAAACUCCAUUAAAACUAAUGAUAGAAGUGUCAUUCUGUUUUUAAAUGUAUGAAUCUUGACAUGUUUAUCUUUAUUUCUGUAAGAAAGGGACACAAUUAUAUCAAUGUAUUAAUUUAUCAAUAAAACUCAUCUACGACUGAAAA